UACGAAGGGGGCUAGCGUUGCUCGGAAUCACUGGGCGUAAAGGGUGCGUAGGCGGGUCUUUUAAGUCAGGGGUGAAAUCCUGGAGCUCAACUCCAGAACUGCCUUUGAUACUGAAGAUCUUGAGUCCGGGAGAGGUGAGUGGAACUGCGAGUGUAGAGGUGAAAUUCGUAGAUAUUCGCAAGAACACCAGUGGCGAAGGCGGCUCACUGGCCCGGUACUGACGCUGAGGCACGAAAGCGUGGGGAGCAAACAGG
rnacentral:rRNA from 1 species